AGCGAACGCUGGCGGCAGGCCUAACACAUGCAAGUCGAACGAUCCUUCGGGAUAGUGGCGGACGGGUGAGUAACACGUGGGAACGUACCUUUCGGUUCGGGAUAACUCAGGGAAACUUGCGCUAAUACCGGAUGUGCCAUUCGGGGGAAAGAUUUAUCGCCUUUAGAGCGGCCCGCGUCAGAUUAGCUAGUUGGUGAGGUAACGGCCCACCAAGGCUCCGAUCUAUAGCUGGUCUGAGAGGAAGAUCAGCCACACUGGGACUGAGACACGGCCCAGACUCCUACGGGAGGCAGCAGUGGGGAAGCUUGCGCAGUGGGCGAAAGCCUGACGCAGCCAUGGCGCGUGAAUGAUGAAGGUCUUAGGAAUGUAAAAUUCUUUUAGCAGGGACGAUAAUGACGGUACCUGCAGAAAAAGCCCCGGCUAACUUCGUGCCAGCCGCCGCAGUAA
rnacentral:rRNA from 1 species